rnacentral:misc_RNA from 1 species
GAUGAAGAACGUAGUGAAAUGCGAUACGUAAUGUGAAUUGCAGAAUUCAGUGAAUCAUCGAGUCUUUGAACGCACAUUGCGCCCCCUGGUAUUCCGGGGGGCAUGCCUGUCCGAGCGUCAUUGCUGCCCUCAAGCACGGCUUGUGUGUUGGGCCUCCGUCCUCCUCCCGGGGGACGGGCCCGAAAGGCAGCGGCGGCACCGCGUCCGGUCCUCGAGCGUAUGGGGCUUCGUCACCCGCUCUUGUAUGCCCGGCCGGCGCUUGCCGACACAUCAAUCUUUUUUCCAGGUUGACCUCGGAUCAGGUAGGGAUACCCGCUGAACUUAAGCAUAUCAAUAAGCGGAGGA